AUGUGAAAGUAAUGGCUUGGCCAGCGUAGCACAAGACUCAAACCGGGUAAUCCCAGGGUCGGCAAACUACUAGGUGAUUCAAGGGAGGAUCGGUUACAACAGAAAAACACGGAAGGAUUUCCACUUUUCAACAGCACUUUAUUUGGGGUUUUGGUUCGUGUGGGUGUGGGUGUGUUGAGUGUAGGUUUUUCAGGGGCUAACAUACCGUGAUCCGCUCAGCUGAUGGUUCGCCUCCGGCGAUUGCGGGCCGGCAGAGGAGUUCGUCCAACCUCCACUCUGCGGCGGGAACUGCCCCAAGGGGGGGGGGGGGGGUAUUGUUGCUACUGACGGAUGCGGCGGCCCUUUGUUCUUGGCUGCGAGUCUGGUCUUCGGCGCCAGAUGCAGCGUUGUUCGCCGGCCUCUUUAGGCGGCGUCGGUUCUUCCGGCUUCCGUGCCGGGAUGAUGGACGACCAGCGGGCGUUGCUGUUUCCGGUGGGCAGGCGUCUUCCCUCAUUGGCUGAUCGGCAGCCCCAGAGUCCACUGAUGCGGGCAUGCCGAGAGGGGACCCUCCUUUGCGGUUAAGGCCAGCGGCCUGAGGGUGAUCGUCCUUGACGUUGAUGGCGCGGGGAGGCGCCAGACGACGGGGGUGGUCCUAUUACGGAUUAGACGUGGGAAGCUACCAGCACGGGAUUUACGCAACCCAGGCCGACCAAUCCGAGAUGGACGAGCUGCUCGCGGAAACCUCCUGGUUCCGCCGAUGGGAAGGGCGAUUGACGACCCUUCGCGGGAGCACGACUUGUCCACUCGGACGCCUGUUUGGAAGAGAGCGAUUUUCCCCAAAUCGACUUCCCUCAUCAGUUUAGCCCAAGUCCAUUUUCCCACCAUUUCCUUUCUGACGUAAGCAAAUGCGCCCGCAGGAAAUUGGUGGACAUCAGCCUCGCUUACACUGAUACGCUUCGCCCCAUCAAAACUGUUGUAGUGUAGUGUAAGUGGUAUAAAAUGCUGAGGCGAAGCUUCAAUUAUCCAGAAUUGUAACCAACGGUUACACUAUCCACUACCCCGGCGAAAAAAAUGUGAAUGCACGAAGUUCAAGAACAUUUUUUUAAUCGAACUGCUUUCCAAAAUCAUCUUCGGCACUCAUCAGGUUCGUGGUCUAGCGUACGUGGUCAAGUUCUUAUGUACAAGCCUCAUUUUAGGCAAAUAUGCACAUGUCCAUGUGAUAACCAAUCACAGAUUAUAUCACAGAGGUUUUUAUCAAAUCAGCCCAAUAGGCAAAAUAAAUAAAUUAAAUAAAUAAAUAAAUUAACAAUUAGACAUGCACUACAAAUUAAAAGAAUAAAUUAAAAUAAUUCCCAAAACAUUAGUAGACAACUCUAUUUACAAAUCGUGGCCACGAUGUUCAUUUUCAUGAACUAUUUACAUUUAAUCCAAUUUUAGAUCACAUUCGAUCUUAUUCGGAAAUUCACCACAAGGGUUCAUUCCUGACGGGCAAACUGAUUGACAGUCCCCGAAACGUCUCUAAUCUGUCAAACGUCAGCAUAUCGCAAUGUUUACACAUGCGAACAUGCAAAAGUAGUGCAAGUGAAAACGUAAAGUUUUAUCGGUGAAAAGUGUUGAAAACCUGCAGAAUUUUCAACGAACGUUAAGGUAAGUACAAAACAAAAUACAACAUAACGAAGCGCUUCUUUUAUAGGGUAAGUUGACUCAUUCUCGUCCAUCCCAGCGGGGAUUUGGACUGAGACGUGGAACAUCGCUGCCAGAACGAACUUUUUGGACAAAAAGUCGCCUGCAGGAGUCCACUAAUGGUCUUUGGGAUACCGUGCUAGCCAUCUUGUCGCGCAAGAUGAGCUACAGGCCUUUGCAAUUCUCGGGAGAUCCCCUCACCACAACACCACCAGCCGCGCUCGGACCGAGGGAAACGACGUUUUUAACCCCUUGAUCGUCCGCGAACUGGCCCGUUGGGCUAUGGAUUCCCGAUUUACCUGGUACUCUCAACGUUUCGGAAUGACUGCUGGGAUAUCGUGGUAAUCCAGACCGGCUGACUUGGUCCAGGGAAGAUGGGACAACGCCGCAAUAAACCCCUAGCACCCAAGUCGGUGCCGAUCUUGGCCACCGAUUUCCUUAGCAUCUCCUACUAAGUUUAAGUUCUAGAAUUAAGAAAAUUUAAAAAGAAAUUAGUUAAAAUAAAGCUUUUGGGUCGGGGCUUUCCCCUAUUUG